AAGUCGUAACAAGGUCUCCGUAGGUGAACCUGCGGAGGGAUCAUCAUAGGAAAAAAUAUGUGAGUUCCACUCACCAAGUUGUGGGAAGUGUGGUGUUGUGUGGGGGGGGCCCUCUAGGUUUUUGGGAGUUUGCAUACUCUGCAAUACUUUCUGGGAGCCCUGGGGGGUUCUCUCUCUCUUCUCACGCUUUCUGCAGCUUCACCCAAACGAUCACAACAAUUAUCAGAGAGAUUUGACUUGGUUGUUAUCAUGGCGCUUAACAGUCAAAAGUGUUUGCCUGACAGAUGAUAUAUUCUCAAUGCACCAUUGAUUUGUGGUGGUUGGGUUGGAAAAUAAUCAAUAUACAACUUUCAACAACGGAUCUCUUGGCUCUCA
rnacentral:misc_RNA from 1 species